rnacentral:lncRNA from 1 species
CUUUAUUUGGAGACUCAAAAGUUCCCGGCCAGAUAAAGUCCUUACUAAGCUGUAAGGCUGUGCAAGAGAAGGUGCUAUUGAGCUAGCUCUGAUAUUACUGAUGGACCGCAGUGCUCCCUCCGUAUGCUCUGUGGGGUGCUCCUGAGGACAGUUUGUCAGCCUGGCUGCAGAGAUUGGAGGGCUGCGAGUCUGUCACUCAAAUAUCUGCUGAGGGGAUGAGUCCGUGCCUGCCAGAGUCCUCGCCAAGGAGGAACAAGGAAGAUGGGGAGGUGACCUGGACUGGUGUCUGUUGCUGCACUCUGAGGAAUUUCACCUUAGGAAAAUGCAAAUGGACUUGGAACUAAUUUUGUUCAAGAACGUGAGCAGGCACUCAGAGGGCCUUUUUUUUCCCCCUCUUACCAUGACUUCUCUAAUUACUGGGAUGAAUGUGUAAACCCUCAUGCUGAAGUGUUCACAAGAGUGAGUUUACUCAUUUUACCAUUUCUUGGCAUAAAAAGCAUCGUAUUAAGCAGGUUUUAAGGUUUUCUCACCAAGAGAUGUGGAUUAUAAAGCUUUAGAAAUAACUUGCAUCUGGAAAAGCCAAUUAAUAAAACAAAAAUUCUGA